AGCGAACGCUGGCGGCAGGCUUAACACAUGCAAGUCGAGCGGCCGUAGCAAUACGGCAGCGGCAGACGGGAGAGUAACACGUGGGAACGUGCCCAUCAGUUCGGAACAACCCAGGGAAACUUGGGCUAAUACCGGAUACGCCCUUACGGGGAAAGAUUUAUCGCUGAUGGAGCGGCCCGCGUCUGAUUAGCUUGUUGGUGAGGUAACGGCUCACCAAGGCGACGAUCAGAGCUGGUCUGAGAGGAUGAUCAGCCUCACUGGGACUGAGACACGGCCCAGACUCCUACGGGAGGCAGCAGUGGGGAAUAUUGGACAAUGGGCGCAAGCCUGAUCCAGCCAUGCCGCGUGGAUGAUGAAGGCCCUAGGGUUGUAAAGUCCUUUCGGCGGGGAAGAUAAUGACGGUACCCGCAGAAGAAGCCCCGGCUAACUUCGUGCCAGCAGCCGCCGUAAC
rnacentral:rRNA from 1 species